AUUGAACGCUGGCGGCAGGCCUAACACAUGCAAGUCGAACGGUAACAGGGAUCAGCUUGCUGCUUCGCUGACGAGUGGCGGACGGGUGAGUAAUGUCUGGGAAACUGCCUGAUGGAGGGGGAUAACUUCUGGAAACGGUAGCUAAUACCGCAUAACGUCGCAAGACCAAAGAGGGGGACCUUCGGGCCUCUUGCCAUCGGAUGUGCCCAGAUGGGAUUAGCUAGUAGGUGGGGUAACGGCUCACCUAGGCGACGAUCCCUAGCUGGUCUGAGAGGAUGACCAGCCACACUGGAACUGAGACACGGUCCAGACUCCUACGGGAGGCAGCAGUGGGGAAUAUUGCACAAUGGGCGCAAGCCUGAUGCAGCCAUGCCGCGUGUAUGAAGAAGGCCUUCGGGUUGUAAAGUACUUUCAGCGGGGAGGAAGGGAGUAAAGUUAAUACCUUUGCUCAUUGACGUUACCCGCAGAAGAAGCACCGGCUAACUCCGUG
rnacentral:rRNA from 1 species